GACGAACGCUGGCGGCGUGCUUAACACAUGCAAGUCGAACGGAAAGGCCCUGCUUUUGUGGGGUGCUCGAGUGGCGAACGGGUGAGUAACACGUGAGUAACCUGCCCUUGACUUUGGGAUAACUUCAGGAAACUGGGGCUAAUACCGGAUAGGAGCUCCUGCUGCAUGGUGGGGGUUGGAAAGUUUCGGCGGUUGGGGAUGGACUCGCGGCUUAUCAGCUUGUUGGUGGGGUAGUGGCUUACCAAGGCUUUGACGGGUAGCCGGCCUGAGAGGGUGACCGGCCACAUUGGGACUGAGAUACGGCCCAGACUCCUACGGGAGGCAGCAGUGGGGAAUAUUGCACAAUGGGCGGAAGCCUGAUGCAGCAACGCCGCGUGCGGGAUGACGGCCUUCGGGGUGUAAACCGCUUUCGCCUGUGACGAAGCGUGAGUGACGGUAAUGGGUAAAGAAGCACCGGCUAACUACG
rnacentral:rRNA from 1 species